GUAAGUCUCCUGUCCCGAACAAAGUCGUUGCUACUAUAUAGUAAGUGAAGGACCUGAGAGACUGUGACUAAUGACAGACAAGGGGAACUCAUUGGCAAAGCACAGCCAUCUCCCCCUUCAGCUCCCGCCAGGGCUAUAAUCAAAAGCACCUUUGUGAGCUAGAAGAAAGGCUGGUCUUCUUAACUGUGCUACCGCACUCUGGCAAUUAAACAAGUCUGUAAACAUGCCCCCUCUCUCUCGUUCGGUUUCUUACUUUUUCUAUCUUCUCUUCUUCCCCCCUCGCUUACUCCGUCCUCUCUCUCGUAGCCGUGAACGUGUACGGAUCAAAUCAGUUUCUUCACCCGAGUUCUUUGACGUUUUGUGGUUGGAGGUCAGCUUCGGCUGUCAGUCAUUUGCUGCUAUGUGUGAGCAUCCUUCUUGUUGACUGCGGCCCUAAUGAGAACCUAACCCAGAACAACUUCACAUAGCCACCUGCAUUCUGUGCUCCGUGUUGUGAACUCCAAUUAACAAGGCUUUUAGUCAGUAGUUCAUUUGGAAGCCGCUGCCAAGCCUCUAAUUUCCCCUGCUCUCUGCACCAAUAUCAGGUGAGUGCUUUGUCAUGGGUCAUUUGCCUUUAAACCUCGCAACCCUUCC
rnacentral:lncRNA from 1 species